GUUUGUUCUCUCUUGACAAGCUCUUCCCGUCGGAUUGCAGUCCUUUGUAUCAAAUUAAAAAGUCCGUGUCUGAUGCAUGGGAACAUUUUAAGACGGCUGGAGAUUUAUGAUGGCCCAAUUUAAUGCAACAGUGCAAACAUCAAAUUACAAGCAGAAAUGUUCUUCACAGACACUGUCAGGUAACAUAACUUAAACAUAGAAGAAGAGCUGUACUGUUUUGUCUUUGCAUAUUCUGAAUAGUUUAUAUCUAUCUGUGUAAACUGACAUAAAGUAAAAUUAUGUAAGUCAUUUUGUACAACAGUAAUUAAUUUUUAUAGAUGCUCAAGAUUCCCAAGAUGGAUGCUGAGGGGUAGCAAUAAAAUACAACUUGUACCAGCCUCAGUGUCUUGAAUAACAAUGUAAAUCAUGGUGAAAAAAAGAUUAUUACAGGCACCUGCUGCUGAAGUGCAUGAAGGGCCCAUUUCCAAGUCUGAGACUACAUCCUGAUUUUAUUGUGCUCGUUACAGCUAGAGGUCACCUGAAAAAGAUGCUGUCUGGGAUUGGCUGAAUUUUGGCUAGGGGAGGGAGAUUAAAUGUGAAAAAUGUGUUUUGGUAAUAAAGUCUGCUAAUAAUGUA